rnacentral:lncRNA from 1 species
UGGGUCUUUCCUGUGUUGUCCUCAUAAGUGAAUGGGUCUCGUGAGGUCUGAUGGUUUUAAAAACGGGAGCUUCUCUGAACAAGCUCUCUCUUUGCUUGCUGCCAUCCAUGUAAGAUGUGACUUGCUCCUCCUCACCUUCUGCCAUGACUGUGAGGUCUCCCUAGCCACGUGGAACUGACAAUGCCAACUCCUGAAGAUCUUGCUCUAAGUGGUCAAAGGGUGAGCAUACUGCAGGCAACAAAAGAUCGAGCAUACUACAGGCAACCAAGGGUCAAGACAAAUUUACAGGAUCCCUCCCUACCGUGGCCACUACCCAGCUUCCCAGUAGUGCCUUCCUAAUUUGCUGCCCAUGGUAAUGGAGACAAAUACCUGCAGAAGAACAUAAUCAAAACUCAAAGGAAAGUUGAGCAAGCACUGGAACAUUCACAAAGGCAGACAGCAGACGUGCUCAUCAAAAGCAUUUUUGCUGCAUAUUGGGUUAUCAGGAUGGACAUGCAUGGACUAAUCAAUGUGCUUCAAUGAGAGCUGUAGAAAAAUGGAAUGAGCAACAAAUGGAGUCAUCAUACAGCCAGCAUCAUAUAGAAGAAUGACAAAGAGAGAAAAAAUAAAACUUUCUGGGAAAGAAGGAAUAAGAAGCUGGAUUGGCAGAAAGAUCAAUGUGGUUUUCCCUAGAGCUUCCUGGGCAGAGCACAGAAAAGGCUGGUUGCCUAUGGAGAACUACAAAUUGAAGAGUUUCUUAAUCAGUCCACUGUUCACUUGAUUCCCAGACACAGACAACAUGAGUUUAAUUAUCCGGAGACAUUUCAAAGGAUGUUGAUGUUUCAUGAUGGGAAAACGGCUACUUCUACAAAGAAUUGAUCUUUCUGAAUAGAAAGAAGGUCAUUCCUGUGAGCACUGUAUAUUUUGCCAACAGAAUUAGACUGGUCAGUUAAGAAGUAUGCCUUAAUUAUUAAGAGCAUAGGAUCAGGCAGUCUGAGCUCUGAGUUCAAAAUCCUAACCUUACCCUUACCAACCAAGUGCCUAUUGGGUACAGAAUCAUAACACUUCGGUAAAAUGAUUCCCGUGAACACAAAAUAUACGGUACUCUCAUGAGCACCAUAUAUUUUUCCAACAGAAUUAGACUGGUCAGUUAGGAAUUAGACUGUUUUAAUUGUUAAGAGUACAGGAUCAGGAAGUCUGAGUUCUGAGUUCAAAAUCCUAACCUUGCUUUUACCAACCAAGUGCCCAUUGAGUACAGAAUCAUAACAAUUGGAUGAAAUGAUUAGCAUGACAGUGCCUAGAUGAUAUGGUGUUGUAUAUAUUCAAUAUGAUGUAAUUUUCCAAUAUCCAUUGAAUGUGUACCAUGUGGAUACAAGGAGAACAAGAAGAUGAAGUCUUUCUCAUUGGGAAGCUCACAUCUUAGUGACCCUCCAGAAUUAAUAUAUCUAAAGACUAAGGACAGUACCAAACACAAAGUAAUUGCUAUCUAUGCUGUUAUUCAUGCAAAUGAUUAAAUCAGUGCACCCCCUCCCAAUCAUGGAUUGCUCUAAUAUUACAUAUCACUCUUAUAUUAUACCUUCCUCCAGACAGUAAAUGGAAAUCUGCACUCCUAGAGUUUUGUGUUGUUAUUCUUAAUGAUGAUAUGGCAAGAGACUGCAAACAUCCUGAUUUGCAAGGCUAGGGAGCUUGGAAAUGCCAGGAAAUAUGGGAAAAAUCAAACCCCAUUCUUUCAACUCACUGGCGAUUUUUUCCUGGCUACACUGUCUUCAUUUAAUCUACAUUUCCCUACCAGCAGGUGCUCACCAACUACCAUUGGUGAAGGCACCAGUGAGUUUCUGGUAAGGAUCUGAGUUGUUCCUGACCACAGAUUGGAGGAACCAUGUGGGAAAAGGUGUAGCAUUGCAUUCUCUUGGAACACAGACUUUCGUCAUUUGGCAAAGAGAUUCAUCUUGCAUUUUUUAGUAUGAUGGCAAGCAAUACAUGAUGGCAAGCAAUACUUAACUUCAUAACCUUGAUUCAUAUCCUUCCCCCUAAUGCUCCUAACAGGACAACUGAAAUUUAUAUUGCCUGAUUGAAAAGAGGCUUUAUUUGACCCAGACACAAAGUUAGCUUUCCAAUACUUCCCUAGCUUCCAAGCCAUAAAAAAUUAAAUGCCUGGAAUGUGUACCUUACAAGAUAAAAUAAAUGAGAUAACUUUUUACUGGUAAACAAUCAAUAGCCUAUUAAAAUAAAACUAGCAUACAAUUCUCUGAUUUUUGUAGAGGGACAUUUUAUUUUGGUCCUGUAAGUUUCCCUAGUAGAGCUGGAAUAAUUGUAGAAUAGAUUUUGGAAGUAGUAUGUUCAGGCAUAAAAUAAUGCAAUAUGCAAUAACUCAAGUUGAUAAACAGGUUAAUUGCAAUGAUGCUUGGCACGUAGAUCUUUUUCUGCUAAGACUUUGAAAGUUAGAAAAACUCAUAAUAUUUAUGUUUGUCAUUUGAAGAAUUUAAGGGGUUAUUAAUAUUCAGAAACAUGUACUAAUUUCCUUUGAAGGGAGAUAACUUACUGGCUGUAAAAUAAAUAUUGGCCUUGGAACUGGACAAACUGAGCUUAAAUCCUGGCUCCUUCACUUAUUUGCUAUGUGACUUUAGAUAAAUGAUUUAAUCUUGAUUUUUUAAAUCUGAAAAAUAGGGUUAAUGAUACCUGAUGCUUUAGUAGUACAAUGAGGUAUUCCACAAAGAUAGUGGAAAACAGGGAAAUUAGGUUGCAUGUAACUACUAUCUUAGGAGCUUUAACAAAAUAAUAAAAUACCUGGGUUCUCAACCCCAGAAUUCUGAUAUAAUUAGACUUGAAUGAGGUUGAGGCACAGUAUUUUUGUCAAAAUCCAGACAGACAUGGUCCCUAUCUCUCAUGAAUUGCACAAUACAGUAGAAGUUACUGACGUUAUAGGUGAAGAACUAAAUUGAAUAUGAGUUUUAGAGCCAGGAAGAUCUGUGAUAUUUUGCUAGCUGUGUGGCCUUGGGCAAUAACUUAAUUUUCCUGAGUCUCAGUUUCCCCAUGUAUAAACACUAACGUUAAUGCAUUUGUAUCUCUUAGUAUAGUGAUUUAGGACUGCCACAUAGUAGGUGCGUCCUAAAUAUCAUUAUUCAUUAUAAUUUCACAAGUAUUAUUGGUAAUAUUUUACCUCAAAAAGAUACUAUGACUGAUCGUUUAGGUCUACAAGUAUCUAAUUGCUCAGUUGUAAUAUUUCACUUUAAAGUGAAUAAGGUCUCCAAAAGGUUAAAAAAAAAAUCACAGUUCUAUCUUAUUAGUGUUGAAAUGGGGGCAGUUACAGCCUCUUUUCCAUGCCACUUCACUAGUACUAGUACUGUCAAUACAUUUCUUCAUAAAAUAUAUCCAUCAGACAUGGAAUAUUAGGUAUUCAGAGUUGAUCUGUACUUUCAUAUACAUAUUGAUUUAAACAACAUAAUUUUGUGAUUUUGUUUUCAAUUUCCAUCUUGCAUGUUUUAGAAUUUCAUCUUCUAUCUUGGUAUAUGGAACAAUGUGUCAAUAAACAUCAGUGAGCAUAAAGGAAGGAUGACUCAACAAAUUCUUGCAUCCAGUUCAAUUUCAAUUCAGG